rnacentral:rRNA from 1 species
UAAACUACGAUUAGAUACCCUAUUAUUCCAGAUGUUAAGUAGAAACCAGAGUAGUAAUAGUUAUGUUCUUGAAACUCAAAGAAUUUGGCGGUGUUUUAGUCCGCUCAGAGGAACCUGUCCCAUGAUCGAUAAUCCACGUUAGACUUAACUUAGGGUUAUUUAGCUUGUAUACCGCCGUCGAAAGAGGAAUUCAGAAGAAUCCCCUCUAAUCCCUGCAGUAAGGUAGAUGUCAGGUCAAGGUGCAGCUGAUCCUUAAGGGGAGAUGGGUUACAAUAAGGGUACUUAAACGGAAGUUCGCAGGGAGAAGUGAACUAGAAGGUGGAUUUGAAUGUAAUUGGGUUUUAAUUAAAACCCAUGAAAGAGGCUCUAAAACAAGCAC